UGGCAAGCGUUGUCCGGAUUUAUUGGGCGUAAAGCGAGCGCAGGCGGUUUCUUAAGUCUGAUGUGAAAGCCCCCGGCUCAACCGGGGAGGGUCAUUGGAAACUGGGAGACUUGAGUGCAGAAGAGGAGAGUGGAAUUCCAUGUGUAGCGGUGAAAUGCGUAGAUAUAUGGAGGAACACCAGUGGCGAAGGCGGCUCUCUGGUCUGUAACUGACGCUGAGGCUCGAAAGCGUGGGGAGCAAACAGGAUUAGAUACCCUGGUAGUCAAGGGCG
rnacentral:rRNA from 1 species